UACAGCCAUAACAGGUGUAAACACCAGUUCCCAUGCGAUCACCAAAGUUAAGCAAUGUUGAGCCUGGUCAAUACCUACAUGGUUGACUGCUUGAGAAUACCGGGUGCUGCAAG